rnacentral:rRNA from 1 species
AGGAAAAGAAAUCAACCGAGAUUCCCCCAGUAGCGGCGAGCGAACGGGGAGGAGCCCAGAGCCUGAAUCAGCAUGUGUGUUAGUGGAAGCGUCUGGAAAGGCGCGCGAUACAGGGUGACAGCCCCGUACACAAAAGCGCAUGUGCUGUGAGCUCGAUGAGUAGGGCGGGACACGUGGUAUCCUGUCUGAAUAUGGGGGGACCAUCCUCCAAGGCUAAAUACUCCUGACUGACCGAUAGUGAACCAGUACCGUGAGGGAAAGGCGAAAAGAACCCCGGCGAGGGGAGUGAAAAAGAACCUGAAACCGUGUACGUACAAGCAGUGGGAGCACAGGUUUACCUGUGUGACUGCGUACCUUUUGUAUAAUGGGUCAGCGACUUAUAUUCUGUAGCAAGGUUAACCGUAUAGGGGAGCCGGAGGGAAACCGAGUCUUAACCGGGCGUUAAGUUGCAGGGUAUAGACCCGAAACCCGGUGAUCUAGCCAUGGGCAGGUUGAAGGUUGGGUAACACUAACUGGAGGACCGAACCGACUAAUGUUGAAAAAUUAGCGGAUGACCUGUGGCUGGGGGUGAAAGGCCAAUCAAACCGGGAGAUAGCUGGUUCUCCCCGAAAGCUAUUUAGGUAGCGCCUCGUGAAUUCAUCUCCGGGGGUAGAGCACUGUUUCGGCUAGGGGGCCAUCCCGGCUUACCAACCCGAUGCAAACUGCGAAUACCGGAGAAUGUUAUCACGGGAGACACACGGCGGGUGCUAACGUCCGUCGUGAAGAGGGAAACAACCCAGACCGCCAGCUAAGGUCCCAAAGUCAUGGUUAAGUGGGAAACGAUGUGGGAAGGCCCAGACAGCCAGGAUGUUGGCUUAGAAGCAGCCAUCAUUUAAAGAAAGCGUAAUAGCUCACUGGUCGAGUCGGCCUGCGCGGAAGAUGUAACGGGGCUAAACCAUGCACCGAAGCUGCGGCAGCGACACUCAGGUGUUGUUGGGUAGGGGAGCGUUCUGUAAGCCUGUGAAGGUGGCCUGUGAGGGUUGCUGGAGGUAUCAGAAGUGCGAAUGCUGACAUAAGUAACGAUAAAGCGGGUGAAAAGCCCGCUCGCCGGAAGACCAAGGGUUCCUGUCCAACGUUAAUCGGGGCAGGGUGAGUCGACCCCUAAGGCGAGGCCGAAAGGCGUAGUCGAUGGGAAACGGGUUAAUAUUCCCGUACUUGGUGUUACUGCGAAGGGGGGGACGGAGAAGGCUAUGUUGGCCGGGCGACGGUUGUCCCGGUUUAAGCGUGUAGGUGUGUGUUCCAGGUAAAUCCGGUUCACUUUAACACUGAGGCGUGACGACGAGGCACUACGGUGCUGAAGCAACAAAUGCCCUGCUUCCAGGAAAAGCCUCUAAGCAUCAGGUAACAUCAAAUCGUACCCCAAACCGACACAGGUGGUCAGGUAGAGAAUACCAAGGCGCUUGAGAGAACUCGGGUGAAGGAACUAGGCAAAAUGGUGCCGUAACUUCGGGAGAAGGCACGCUGACACGUAGGUGAAGUGAUUUACUCAUGGAGCUGAAGUCAGUCGAAGAUACCAGCUGGCUGCAACUGUUUAUUAAAAACACAGCACUGUGCAAACACGAAAGUGGACGUAUACGGUGUGACGCCUGCCCGGUGCCGGAAGGUUAAUUGAUGGGGU